GCGAGAGGAGGGCAGAGAUGUGGACCCACACAGAGGCCACGCCGGGGCUGAGCAAGGACGGCCCCGGAUAGGGCGGGCUUAGAGAGGGGCACGGAGGCUGGACCCUGGCCUUGAAGGAGCCCCUGCAAGGUGGGGGCUGCACUGGGGUUGUGGCAGGGGAACAUGUGGACCACAGAAAGCAUCACACCUGGGCUGGUGCUGGACAUCCCCAGCACCAACCACACCUUCUCAUCGCCAGGGCCUCCUGUUCAGGCUGCUUGGACUCUCAAGCUCUGUCUGCUUUGUUCCUACUUGGCAGAACUGGGCGCCUCUCAGCACUCACUUGGAGACGUGGGGUCGGAACUCUGGUGGCCUGGUGCCUCUCCCAGCCAGGACCUGGAUGAAUGAACACACACCCUUCCUUUCCCAGGCUCUGCCGUGUCUUCUGUCAAAGCAUCAGAAAUCAGGGGCUUUGGCAGGACAACUGAAAUGGUAUAGCGGCUGCAGCAAAGCCUGGAGUCCAACUUACGUCCACGUCUCACAAGGUACAUCUUCAUAACAUGUGCCACUCCUGGCUCUUUUAUUUUCCUGCCACUCACUUUUUCUUAUUUUUAACAGAUAUUCCUUGCAACGUUGCUUGCAUAUUUGUUAAGUGGCCACUAAAUCCCUUCUGGAACUAGGCAGGGAGAAAAUCAGUCGAUUGACCGAUACAAGACAGAAUGAAGUGAUAAUCGCUACCUUUCACUGAGUGCUUUCUAUGUGCCAGGGACAAUCCUAGACAUUUUUUAUUUUUUUAGAUGGAGUUUUGCUCAUGUCACCCAGGCUGGA
rnacentral:lncRNA from 1 species